rnacentral:lncRNA from 1 species
CCAUUACCAUGCUAACGCAUAAACAAAUUAUUAAACUGGUCCAAUUUGGAAGCUGGCCCAUGAUAAACAUGAUUUGCUUGAGGCCCAAACUCAUAAGGAUGGCGAUAAUAUCCACGUACAGCCAACCGGCUAGCACCAGACCCAAAUUCAGCAGCGUAGGGCCCAUAUCUAUUUUGUUUACUUGCAGUCCCAAGAUGCACAUUAAACCCAGCUUGCCCAAAAUUAUCACUAGCAAACUGAUUAGAAACCCUACCAAAUUCGCGUCCCAUCUGAAGCGCCACACCGAAGUCACCAACUGCAUCUUUGUUAGGUGACAGCGAAUAACCAUUAGCACCACCAGACUGCCACCACUUAGCCACAGAAAUGGACCUUCAAAAUCGCGGUUGUAGCAAUAAAAAUAGUGUUGAGCUAUGUGCCCAAACCGACCGCAAAUUUGACACUGGAUUCGAGAGCGGAACCCACGAUCGCGCCCACCAUGUAAAUGACCACCUCGAGCUGAGUCUACCACCACCGGCGACGGUAUAGAUUCGUAAGGUUAGCCUGAAUUGAAACUUCUUGAAUCAUCCGCGACUGCCGAUUUUCAUACUCUAGAAGCACGUUCACAAGACAUUGAAGAGGCAACGGUUUAGCCAGAAAUGACACCAAAGUAACCACCGUAUCAAAUUCCGGUGAAAGACUUGCCAAAAUAAUUUUGACUUUUUCUGGCUUUGACACCCGUGAGCUCGAGGCAUCCAGCAAAGCAUAAUUAUUUUGAAUUCGUGCUACAUAUUCAGUAAUCGAAAGAUUACAUUUCUUGAGAGAGUGUAACUUGUGACGAACUCGGGAAAGUUUGGCAUCGGUAGCUGCCGCGAACAAACGGGUAGCCAUAGUCCAAACAUCACACACUAUUCAGGCAUCAGUGAACGAGGAGAGCGCAACCAGGAAGCGAGGAGACGAUCUUGUUGAGUGUAGACCGACGCUCGUGGAUUCGGAACCAAGGAACCAUCUAUUGAUGGCACAAACCGUGGCGGAGAAGGUAAUGUCCCAUCCAAAAAACCUAUUAAUUCAUAUCCUUCUACAAUCAAUCUAAUGUGUUGCUUCCACUGAACAAAACUGUUAUUAUCCAACUUGAUUGUGUCAUGACAAGGAAAUGUAUGAACGAUUCAGUCUCCAGUAAACGCUACGCAAGCAGGCUCGACUGAAGCAGACUUAGGCUUAAUUUGGAUGGGCGGUGUGUUUAGCUCCGGUGAGGUUAAAAACAGUGGUGGCGGUGAGAUUAGUUACUGUAGCGGUGAGAUUGGGUACUGUAGCAGUGAGAUUAGAAACAGCGGUAGAGUGUGUGUUUAGAUUCAAACGCAACUGUAGCGGUGAGGUGAAAAUAGAAAAUGACUUUUAAGGACAUUAGAUUAAAAAUGAUAUAUAAUAGAAGUUUUUUAAAAUUAUUUAAGAAUUACAAAAUUAAUAAAUGAUAAAAAAUUAUUACAAUUAUAUUUAUUUUCAAUAAUAAAUAAUUAAAAAUGAAUUAAAACUAGAGAAAAAAUCAAAAAAUUAUUUUAUUUAAUAUUUCAAAAUUAAUCAUAUCUUUAAUUAUAGGAGAAAAACGAAUUACAUGUAGUCCGGAUUACAUGUGUUGGUUUUUUUAGCAGAAAACUAAGGAGAAAAAGAAAAACGAAUGCAAAGAAGUUUGAACAAGAAGAAAACUGAAUUUGAUUUCAAAAAAUUAGAUCUUUUUCGUUGACUUGAGAAGCAUUUAUGUUACAAUGAAAUAUGGCAGUUAACUAAUGUAUAACUACUCCCAAAGCCUAGAUAGAAUUACAAACAAAAUGUAGCUGACAUACCAGCUAUAACAUCAAACAUAAAUCGACAACUACUCCUACUAACUUUAAGUAUAAAUUACAUUGCAACUAAAUCAAGUUACAAAUGAACAAAAUAAACAAAAUGCUGCUGCUUAUCUGGUUCAGCUAGGAUGCUGGUCUGCAUGCUGGUUUACUGCUGGUUUCCUGUUACAACAAAUUAAGUAAUGCAUCAAAUUAAUGUUGGUAUUCAAGCAACAAAUUAAGUAACGCAUCAAAGUAUCAUUACACCAUAGCUACUUAAAUAUAUGAAGAAUACUCUCAACUUCCUAGUCUUGAAAGCUGAGAAGAUAGCAAUAGAGAUGCCAUGAACACUUCCAAAUCAUAAUUAUGCAUUAUAAAGUCUUAGCAACUAGCAUGCAUCAUAUACAGGCUAAUGUCAUUGAUAUGUAAGUAGCAGAUUUAUAUCAAACCAUUGAAAACACAAGCGUGAUAGCAGAAAUGGAGUCCUUGCUGAAAGUAACUGCCAGACUACAGAUACAACUGCAAUUUCCCUUCCUUUAUACCGAUUUAUCAGAUACCAGUGAUCAUUACUUUAUCUUGUUGGAUCAUUUAAGCUCUUCAGCUACUGAUACAGCAUAAGAGGAAGUCCAGCAGCUGGAGCUGCUUCAAAUAGACUCACAUACUAAUAAUAUGUAUAUAUCUAUCCUUCUUGUUAUAUAACAACUAACAGGCUCCCGAUUCAGGGAUAGCCUAUCUCUGCUUGAUGAAUCAGCAAUCCAAAUGAAAAACAAAGUUUAAAAAUACCUGCAAAUCCAAAAUGUUAUAAGCAUUCCCAGACUCAUCAAAUUCGCAUGGUAAGUUUGGAGCAUAUCUCCUUAGCUCAUCUACAAUGAAUUGGUAGUGGUAAACACCAAAUGGGAGCAUCUUCAUGAUAAUGAAAUCUUUACCCAAAGAGUGCAAGGGUUCUCUGAAAGGAGAAGAAAUAAAAGUUACUGCAACUUAGAUUGUGAAAAGAAAACUGCUCAAGCUAAAGAAUGGAACUUCAAACAUAGACACCAUAAUAGAGAUUCCAGUACAUGGUCUUCCAAUUGUCCCAUGAUCCAGUAAUAACUACUCGCUUGCCACCAAAACACCAUGUUAUCAUCACUGCUCUCUUCUGCUCUUGGUGGAAAUCCUUGUAGCGCGUAGACUUUUGUACCGGUGGAUGAUUUCGGAUUUGCAUCAUUUGACCAGGUCUGAGCAAGGGAGCCUCAGAGAUCUGGAGAAAGAAUUACAACUCGAUUGGAUUUUCCAUUACAUGUAUCUCUAUCAACGUGUGUCCUUAGAUAUGCCAAAUCAUGUGGUAGAUAAUAGAAAGCCUUCAUAAACAAGCUUUUUUUUUUGUUUUCUUUUUUACGAAUGUUGUACAAAUUUUCAAGCAAUUUCAUUUCCUUUUAGC